rnacentral:rRNA from 1 species
GACGAACGCUGGCGGCGUGCUUAACACAUGCAAGUCGAACGGAAAGGCCCUGCGUUUGUGGGGUGCUCGAGUGGCGAACGGGUGAGUAACACGUGAGUAACCUGCCCUUGACUUUGGGAUAACUUCAGGAAACUGGGGCUAAUACCGGAUAGGAGCUCCUGCUGCAUGGGGGGGGUUGGAAAGUUUCGGCGGUUGGGGAUGGACUCGCGGGUUAUCAGCUUGUUGGUGGGGUAGUGGCUUACCAAGGCUUUGACGGGUAGCCGGCCUGAGAGGGUGACCGGCCACAUUGGGACUGAGAUACGGCCCAGACUCCAACGGGAGGCAGCAGUGGGGAAUAUUGCACAAUGGGCGGAAGCCUGAUGCAGCAACGCCGCGUGCGGGAUGACGGCCUUCGGGUUGUAAACCGCUUUCGCCUGUGACGAAGCGUGAGUGACGGUACUGAGUAAAGAAGCACCGGCUAACUACGUG